rnacentral:tRNA from 1 species
GCCUGGGUGGCUCAGCUGGUUAAGCGUUUGACUUUGUCUCAAGUCAUGAUCUCACAUGUCAUGGGUUUGAGCCCCGUGUCAGGCU